GCAUUAGUGGUUCAGUGGUAGAAUGCUUGCUUGCCAUGCAGGCGGCCUGGGUUCGAGUCCCAGCCACUGCA